rnacentral:rRNA from 1 species
GAUGAACGCUAUCGGCGUGCUAUACACAUGCAAGUCGAUUAGAUGACCCCGUGCUUGCACGUUUGAUUAGUGGCGAACGGGUGAGUAACACAUGAGUAACCGGCCCCCGACAUUGGGAUAAGCCCGGGAAAUGGGUCUAAUACCGGAUAUGACUUCUUACGGCAUGGUGGGUUGUUGAAACAUUUAUCGGAGGGGGAUGGACUCGCGGCCUAUCAGCUUGUUGGUGAGGUAAUGGCUCACGAAGGCGACGACGGGUAGCCGGCCUGAGAGCGUGACCGGCGACACUGGGAGUGAGACACGCCCAGACUCCUACGGGAGGCAGCAGUGGGGAAUAUUGCACAAUGGGCGAAAGCCUGAUGCAGCGACGCCGCGUGAGGGAUGACGGCCUUCGGGUUGUAAACCUCUUUCAGUAGGGAAGAAGCGAAAGUGACGGUACCUGCAGAAGAAGCGCCGGCUAACUACGUGCCAGCAGCCGCGGUUAUACGUAGGGCGCAAGCGUUAUCCGGAUUUAUUGGGCGUAAAGAGCUCGUAGGCGGUUUCUCGCGUCUGACGUGAAAGUCCGAGGCUCAACCUCGGAUCUGCGGUGGGUACGGGCAGACCAGAGUGAUGCAGGGGAGACUGGAAUUCCUAAGUGUAGCGGUGAAAUGCGCAGAUAUCAGGGGGAACACCGAUGGCGAAGGCAGGUCUCUGAGGCAUUUACUGACGCUGAGGAGCGAAAGCAUGGGGAGCGAACAGGAUUAGAUACCCUGGUAGUCCAUGCCGUAAACGUUGGGCACUAGGUGUGGGGGACAUUCCACGUUUUCCGCGCCGUAGCUAACGCAUUAAGUGCCCGGCCUGGGGAGUACGGCCGCAAGGCUAAAACUCAAAGGAAUUGACGGGGGCCGCACAAGCGGCGGAGCAAGCGGAUUAAUUCGAUGCAACGCGAAGAACCUUACCAAGGCUUGACAUGUGCCAGACCGCCUCAGAGAUGGGUUUCCCUUCGGGGCUGGUUCACAGGUGGUGCAUGGUUGUCGUCAGCUCGUGUCGUGAGAUGUUGGGUUAAGUCCCGCAACGAGCGCAACCCUCGUUCCAUGUUGCCAGCACGUAGUGGUGGGGACUCAUGGGAGACUGCCGGGGUCAACUCGGAGGAAGGUGGGGAUCACGUCAAAUCAUCAUGCCCCUUAUGUCUUGGGCUUCACGCAUGCUACAAUGGCCGGUACAAUGGGUUGCGAUACUGUGACGUGGAGCUAAUCCCUAAAAGCCGGUCUCAGUUCGGAUUGGGGUCUGCAACUCGACCCCAUGAAGUCGGAGUCGU